rnacentral:rRNA from 1 species
CCUACGGGGGGCAGCAGUGAGGAAUAUUGGUCAAUGGGCGAGAGCCUGAACCAGCCAAGUCGCGUGAGGGACGACGGUCCUAUGGAUUGUAAACCUCUUUUGUCGGGGAACAAAGGCGCCCACGGGUGGGCGGAUGAGUGUACCCGAAGAAAAAGCAUCGGCUAACUCCGUGCCAGCAGCCGCGGUUAUACGGAGGAUGCAAGCGUUAUCCGGAUUUAUUGGGUGUAAAGGGUGCGGAGGGGGGAAGUCAAGUCAGCCGUGAAAAAUCGGGGGUCAACCGCGGUCCAGCCGUGGAGCCGGGCAGGCUUGAGUGGGGGAGAGGGAGGCGGAAUGCGUGGUGUAGCGGUGAAAUGCGUAGAUAUCACGGAGAACUCCGGUGGCGAAGGCAGCAUACCGGCGCGCAACUGACGGUGAGGCACGAAAGCGUGGGUAUCGAACAGGAUUAGAUACCCUUGUAGUC